CCUGCACCCAAUAACUGCAUCCAUUCAGGAACUGACCUCUGCAGCCGAAGAAGCUGAGGGAGAAGCAUCUAGCAGUCCCUAUGGCCAACUUGACAAGGAACAAUGAAGAUAGCCUCUGGACGUCCAUUUGAUGGGUGCAAGGCUGCUAGAUUUUGCAAUUCUUAGACCAUACUUGCAACAUCCUGCCAUCAGUCAUGACCCAGCAACAGUGACAUCUAAAGGACUGCAAUCAAUUCUUGCCGGUUUUGAACUAAUCCCAAGGUACUCUUCCAUUUUAUGUGCAUGUGUCUUAUUUUAUUUUAUUUUUUGAUAAGUAUGUGCAUGUGUGUCUUAUUGGGAAGUUGCUACUAAUUUAUGAAAGUGUUCUUGUCAUGGAUUUAGGCAGUACUAGUUGUAGGAAGAAACAACCUAUACACUCUUGGAAUUGGAAACAACAGAGGGGUUAGAUACUCAACUCCAUGAGACCAGAUGGAAAUUACUUAUUUUUCGUUGUAAAUCAAGUUGGGUAAUUAGUUGGAUUUAUUUUUAUUUUAUUUUGCAUGUUUAUCUUUGUAGCUUUAAUUUACAUCUCUUGUACAGUAUGGUUAAGAACACAAUACUGUUAAAAGAUUCAAAGAUAAAAGAUGCUCUCUGUGAUUUAAUGGGGACAUGUGCUACCAAAUACCACUAUACGGUGCAAUCAUGUGUUGUUGGUAGUUUGGUUGGUUCUCCUAUCAUAGAGAUUGGAAGGACAAACCGAAAAGACUAUGUGAAGGACAAAGUUGGGGCUAUAAAUAUCAAACGUUGCUUUCUUGUGGAGCUCGUUGAUAGAUUUGUAAAGUUGAUUUUAGCCAACACAGGUUGUCCUGUAUUUUCUCAGGACUAGUCCACUUAUGAAGCCAUGGAGAAUGUGUUUGUUACCAUAUAUAUUAAGAAAAGUUUGUUUUCUUUUAUUAUCCUAAAUAUUCAUGGUAUCUAAACAAGUGGGGUAAAUCUUUUGGUUCAUGAUUUAUAUUCAAUUUUCUUAUCAAUGGUGUUUUUUCCCAUCAACAAUUGAUAAAACCCUCAAAUAUUCUCAACUAUGAGAAAUGGGAAGAAAAGAAAAAAAAAAAAAAAUUAAAAUUAACUAUCAAUUGAACAUUUGAGUAAUCCAUUGUUUUUUUAUAUUCUUUUCUAAUAAUUUUUAUUUGAUACUUGGUGAACGUUCUCUCUUGUGCAUCAACAAAUUCAACUGUUCUGUGUAGUUGAGUUAAGUUUUCACUUUCCAAGUUAGAUUCAAAUAUCUAUUUUAUUCUCAUUAGUCAUUUUUCUAAGUAGAGAUAUUGACAUUAGUUAUUUUGUAUAUUUUAACCAUUUUUUGUAAAGAUUUUAAUCUUUUUUUCUUCUUAUGCAAAUAGAUGUAUUAUUUGAUCUCUCUUGGAAAGAGCUUUUCCAUCUCCAAGAGUAAGACGUGUUUGAUCAUGUAUGUUCAUUAAUCAAAGGUUUCUCUAGUCUCACACUAUCUUGUAAAUUAAAUCUUAGGGAGAGUCCUAGGCCCAAUCUCAACGUUCUUCCAAAGGUGGAUUCUCCAUCUCGAGUUACUUACGAUCUGUUGAUAGUGUACUGAUCCUUGAUUGGGUAGCCUCACAUUGGAUUGCUUUUAAAACCUAUACUUUUUUGCUUCUCAAUAUUGUCCUCAUUCUGGGGUUUAAUAUUGUUUUCAAGAACUUCAAGGUUGCUUGAACUGCAUGCUUGAAUCGGAAACAUUACUCUUACAAGUUUUCUAAAAAGUGAAAGAAAAAACUAUUGUCUAAUAAGGAGACCCUGAUAUUUGGCAUUCUGAAAAGCUUAAUCACCAGUUUUUGGCUGCUAGAUAACUUAUGGUAUGCUGUUACUGAUAAUGUUAUUGAUUUUAUAUAUGCAAUUCAUCCAACUACUGAAACCUUAGUUGUUGACUUGAGGAAAAUGUCUCUUAGUUGCAAAAUUACAUUGAAAGUGGUAUCAUGCGUCCUUUCAACUGUUCUUGUAACAAAACUUAGUAGAUAUUUAUUCAUUAUGUUCCAUGUUGCUAUUAACCAAUUGACGCAUAUGGUGUCAUGUAUCCAAAUAGAAAUCUUAAUUGAUAGUUUUGGCUGCUAGGAAACAUAAUGGUAUGCUGUUGUUGAUAAUGUUAUUGCUACUAUUUAUGCUACUCAUCCAACUCCUAUGGAGAAAUAUGGAAGUUGUGGUUGAAAAGGUUUGCAACAGGUUUGGUGGAGUCACAUGUAUUGUUUAUACUAUUGUUUUAAUUCUAUUUUCAUCUAUCAUGUGCUAAUAUGACAACUUAUUAUCAUGUCAGGUUUUAAUGCAUGACUUCAUUAUAAGAUAUAAUGUCAUGGCACCUUGCAUUUUUGUUGAAUAUAGCUUACGCUUGGACUAGUGUCUUAUUUACCCAUAUUGGAGACAUACUUCAUUAAUAACCUAGCAAGAGUAAGGAGUUUGCAACUAGAACUCAAGUCUCGCAUUGAGGAGUUUGAGAAGCUUGACAAAUUCCAUAUGGAACAAAUGGAAGAAGAGGUUACUGCAAGAAAUGCCCAUACAUCAAUAGAAAGUUGGUAGUUUGGAAUGUUUUAUGGUAGCUAAGAGUAGUGCAGAAGAAUUUUCAAAAACUGAUAUUGUUGAAGGUAUGUGCAAGAAAUGCCCACUUUGAUUCUAUAGUUGCUUGAUCUGUUCCUUGUGUCUUCUUGAAAAUUUUUAGCAAGUUAUCUUCUCUUAGCUUUUUAUUAGAACUUUAGUUGAAGCUUGCAUAGCUGAUUAUCAACUUUUAUAUGCGAAAGGAACACCUAGAAACAUGAAUUGUUGAACGGUGUUGGUCCUGACACGUUUGAGGCACAUGCAUGUAGAGAUAUAACAGGACCAAAAUAAUCCAUAUUGUCGUUGAGUUGGUUUAGACAUUUGUGGAUUGAUGCUGAUAGAUCUGUAUCUGUCAAUGCUUCUGAAAGUUAGUAAGAAAAUUUAAUUCCAAUUGACAUCUAAGCACACAAUUAUUGAAAUGUUCUACUGCAUGAUAAGCUGAAGCGUUGAACAUCAAUGAUAGUUGAAGUUAUGGCCAUCUUAUGUGCAAAUCUUUUCUUGAAUUUCAAAGGUAUUGAAUUAUUUUUCAAAUCUCUGUGUUUAUAAACAUCUAGAUGGUGAAGUCAUCAAAAUUCAAUAAAAAUCUAUUCUUUUUCCCCCCUCAACAUUGUCCUCAUUUGGGUGUCUAAUAUUGGUGUCAAUAACAACUCCAAGGCACUCUUUCUUUCUAUGUGUUUGAGUGUGUCUUGUUGGUCGUUGCUUUUAAUUUAGUAAAGUGUUCUCAUUAUAGAUUUAAGCAAUAUUGAGUUGUUGGAAGAAAUAGCUUAUACACUCAUGGAAUUGGGACCCACAAAGGGUUCAACUACUCAACAUAAUAGCUAAUUCACUAGAGAUCAACCCUUUUUGAUGCUCUUUGGGUCAUGAGACCUAGUUGAAAAUUACUUAUCUUUCAUUGUAAAGUAUAUUGUAUAAUUAGUUUGAUAUUUUUUAAUUUGAUUUUUCAUGUUUAUAUUUGUUAAUUGGAUUUUGUAGGAAUGUAUUCUCUUAGUUUGAGAAUGCGGUACUAUUUAAGAAUUCAGGGACAAAAGAUUUUCUAUGUCAUAUAAUUGGGACAUGUGCCACCAAAUUCCACUACAUGGCGCAGUCAUGUGCAUCAAUUUACACUUGAUGCAGAAGUAUGACUGUUACCACACCUCAAUGGUUGAUUCGAAGGACCAACCCAAAAGACUACGUGAAGGAUACUAUUAGUGUCGAAUGUAUUGGGUGCUUUCUUGUGUAGUUCAUUGACUGGCUUCCAUAGUUGAUUUCAACCAACAUUGGUAUCUUGAUCACAAACUUCUUAGGAGAAUUUUAGAAGAUAAGGAAUGCUCUUGUUGGUGUAUUGGGAAAGUUGAUUAUGUAGGUCUUUACAAAUGUUGAGGGUAAAGUGAGUUCAAAAUCUAUUCAGCUUCAAACCAAGCAAGCCAUUUUGGAAAUAUUGCUAGAGUGAUGUCGAGAUGUUUCAGCUUAUUAUACUAGAAGUAAGGUUCUUCAAGUUUUGAGGAACUAUUUUGACAACAUUCUGUUUUAAUUUGCAUGCAAAAUGAGGUUGUUGUAGUUGCAGCAGGGAGGUUGGAGGAUAAGAAUGCAAUGGUAAGAAAAUCUGCAUUGAAUUUAUUUUUCAUUAUGUUGUAGCAUAACUCUUUUGGGCCACAACUUCAUAUAGCUUUUUUUCAAGUAGCCUUAGAGCAGUAGAAGAAUUUGAGUGACCUUCAACCAAUUGAUGUAUAUGGAGUCAUGUGUCCGAAGGAAGCUAUUUUCGGUGCUUCUACUGAGAAGAACUUGAUUGGCCGCUAUACACCUUUCCAAUAAGAGCUUUGUAGAAAUUAAAUUGUAUUCUAAUGUUAAAUGAAUAUUGUAAGUAAUUUUCUUCCAGAUAUCUUUGGAAAAUAGGUUUCCAGUAGGUUUAGGUGGAGUCUUAGGUGUUCUUUAUGCUAUUAUUUCAAUUCUAUUUUCAUUCUAUCAUGUUCUAAUAUGCAUCUUUUUAUCAUGUCAAGUUUUUACACUUAUUCAUUAUAAGAUAUAAUGUGAGGGCUCCUUGCAUUUCUUUUAA